GUAGGUGGCAAGCGUUGUCCGGGAAUUAUUGGGGCGUAAAGCGCGCGCAGGCGGUUCCUUAAGUCUGGAUGUGAAAAGCCCCCCGGGCUCAACCGGGGGAGGGGUCAUUGGAAACUGGGGAACUUGAGUGCAGAAGAGGAGAGCGGAAUUCCACGUGUAGCGGUGAAAUGCGUAGAGAUGUGGAGGAACACCAGUGGCGAAGGCGGCUCUCUGGUCUGUAACUGACGCUGAGGCGCGAAAGCGUGGGGAGCGAACAGGAUUAGAUACCCUGGUAGUCCACGCCGUAAACGAUGAGUGCUAAGUGUUAGAGGGUUUCCGCCCUUUAGUGCUGCAGCAAACGCAUUAAGCACUCCGCCUGGGGAGUACGGCCGCAAAGGCUGA
rnacentral:rRNA from 1 species